rnacentral:lncRNA from 1 species
UGCUUGGAAAUGUCGUCUUCGGAAGGUGCAAAAGCACCUCGACGGGGUGAAAGAAAUUUAGCGCCAGAAGCAGAACUGGGAAUGGAGUGAGACGCUGGGCCACCUCUUUUUCUCUUCCACAUGCGUUUUGGUUGACAGGCAGGCAGGCAGGCCAUGAGGCCUACAAUGUUGAGGUGGAAAGCCUUCACCAAUCAGGCUGUGACAUAACAACCUCCCAUGAGCUCGCUUUACCCACCGGUUUUCAAAGGAGAAUAGCAACAGAACUGAAAAUCUCUUAAGCUAUCAGUUUGCUCCCUGUUUGGGUUCACCAAUCAACCACUGCUGUUUCUCUGAUGGCAGUGUCUGCACAGAGACUGCCACUUUCUGAUGUUGGAACUACUCAGAGAAACUAUCCAAGGAUUUUCAUCAUACCCUGGAAAAACAUGGACUAUAAAGAAAAAGAUAUAUUGCCACCUAGUGGAAAAUAGGCAGAAUCAUUUGGUUGUCAUUCAGUUUUUAAAUCACAAAAUGGUUAGUACAAGAAAUGCUUAAAAAUGUUCUUCAGUCAUGAAUAACCAUGCUUUAAUCAAAUGAUGUCUUCCACGUUUAGCUGACAU